rnacentral:SRP_RNA from 1 species
GCUGGCAUGGUGGUACGUGCCUAGUCCCAGCUACUAAGGAGGCUGAGGUGGGAGGAUCGCUUGAACCUAGGAGUUCUGGGCUGUAGUGAGCUGUGCCGAUUGGGUGCCCGCACUGAGUUCAGCAUCAAUAUGGUGACCUCCCGGGAGCAGGGGACCAGCAGGUUGCCCAAGGAGGGGUGAACUGGCCCAGGUCGGAAAUGGAGCAGGUCAAAACUCCCUUGCUGAUCAGUAGUGGGAUUGCGACUGUGAAUAGCCACUACACUCCACACUCCAGCCUGGGCAACAUAGCAAGACCCCGUCUCU